AACUUUUUUCCCUUUGUCUCGUGACUGAAUCUGUGAUGUUCUAUUUAUGCGAUCAUAACUAACCGUCUCUCGUGUUCUGAUUUAGCAUCCAAAACUCACCCUUAUGCCCUGUUUUUGCAACCACAACACAUCCUUUUUUGUGCUCUGAUUUUACCUCCAUUUUGUGCUUUGUUUCUUCUGAACAAAAGCCCUUGCUCCUCUUCCACAAUGAAAAUUG